GUGCUCGCUUUGGCAGCACAUAUAUUAAAAUUGGAACAAUACAGAGAAGAUUAGCAUGGUCCCUGUGCAAGGAUAACAUGCAAAUUAGUGAAGCGUUCCAUAUUUUU
rnacentral:snRNA from 1 species